GCUCAGUUUCUCCUUUGCUAAAUGGAGAUAAUAGCAUUUCCAUAUCUUACAGAGGUGUCUUGAGGAUAAGCCCACUGAAGAUUGAAAGGACCUCUCAGAUAUUAAGGCAAUGGUGCCAUGCACAUCACUGACUGUUCAUGACUGAGUUAUAAUGACUGAAGAGGAGUUUAAUGCUCAUAUCUUUGGAAAACCAUUUAAAGAAAUAACAGUAAGGAGGGACACUCUUUUACCUACUUUAGAUUGGACAAUGCAACUACUUCUUCUGUCCGGAAUAUUAUGCUACCUACAGAGAUGAACUUUAAUUAAAUAAGAUCAUACUAUGGAAGUAAGUGAUUAGUAUAUGAUGGGAAGAAUUAUAGAAAUAAGGCUUAUAGAAAGUUUUGCUAACAACUUAUUUUUCUACCCCCAAAGUAUAUAACUUGAGCAAUUUGUUUUUAUGCUAAGCCUCAGAUCAGCCUUCAAUUUUAAUUUUAUUUUGUGUCCACAAAUUCACACCAACCCUGUGUGGCAGUAAUAUAG